rnacentral:rRNA from 1 species
UAUGACCGCUGGCGGCAGGCCUAACACAUGCAAGUCGAGCGGAUGAGUGGAGCUUGCUCCAUGAUUCAGCGGCGGACGGGUGAGUAAUGCCUAGGAAUCUGCCUGGUAGUGGGGGACAACAGUUGGAAACGACUGCUAAUACCGCAUACGUCCUACGGGAGAAAGCAGGGGACCUUCGGGCCUUGCGCUAUCAGAUGAGCCUAGGUCGGAUUACCUAGUAGGUGAGGUAAUGGCUCACCUAGGCGACGAUCCGUAACUGGUCUGAGAGGAUGAUCAGCCACACUGGAACUGACACACGG